GUUCUGCUGUAUAGUAGAAAUGAAGAGUAGGUCACUAUAAUGGAUGUGUUAAAUUUGAAUGCAAAUACAAGUUUUAUUGUAUACGAAAAACGAUUUUGAACGGAGUUGAUUUGUCAGUCUAAGAUAAUUAGUAGGAUAUAUUAUAUUAUUACCCAUAUUUAAAUUGUAAUAUAUCGUUUUUUUACGCGAUUUCGUAAAAAAAUUAAAUUUCAUGCGCUCAUAAAUUUUUUUGGUACUGGUCUGUUAUCGCCCCGCCACGGGAACGAAAAAUUUUAUCGCCCCGCCAAUUACGAACGCGGCUACACUAUUUAAAACGUAAAUAGAAAUUGAAAUAUAUAUAUAUAUAGGUACAUAUUAUAGUGUAUAGAAAUAUUAGAAAAAAAUCAUCAAUUUAAUUCGUUAAUUCAUUAAUUAUUUCCAAAAUUAUAUCAUUAAAAAAAAUAUGUAUAAGUAUAUAAAAUAAAUCUAAAAUUUAAUAAAAUUUAAAAAUAUAUAGAUAAAAUAAAAUAAAAUUACAAUUAGUAAUUACCGUAUCAUGAUGGAGGCUAAAAUGCUGAGAUAUCCAAUAAAAUCUGUUCAAAUGGAUCAUUUUGAUUGGUAAGUUUUAAUCGCCACAUAAACUCUGCCAUGUAUGAGUCAAGGAAAUUUCGAGCUGUUCCGCGACGUCGUUUGUUGCCCCAUUUUGCAGCACCCCACAUUCUUUCCACGUUUUGGGUGUGAACUCCAGUAGAGGGGUCGACAAAGUUGUACUUGUGAUUGACUUUAUUAUGUUGAUAACCUAAUUGUUGAAUUUUAUUGUAUGAUCUCCAACUGUCCGAAAAUAUUAUGGACCCUGGGCGAAUAAACUUUUGGAUUAAUGGUAGUAAAGUUUUUUCAGACCGAUCAGGUACACACACAAUGAAACAUUCUUUAGUUUCUCGGCAAAUGCCUCCAAAUACCCACUGUUGAGGAAGUAUACGACCUGCAUUGUUUUUUCUACGUACAAAAAGGCUUUCGUCAAUUUCCACAAUUAAAUUAGGACCACCAAUUUCUUUAUUACCAAUUUCAAUUUUCCAAACGCACACUUCACGUAAAUAGUUAUUCCAGUCAACAACGGCGCUUUUACUCAUUCCAAACUCACGUUUACAAUACGAUACAGAGAUCAUUUCAUAAGCCCAGCAGUAUAUGUAGUAUACUAUUGUAUGUAUUGGUAAUCUUGAACCACUCAGCCAAUUGUUUGUUCUUAUACCUUUUUCUUUUCGGCAAGUUCUUCUCUGACAACGCCACCGAGAUCCUUUUAUAAUCAUUUUAUGGUCAUUUUCGCACUUUUGAGUUUGUAAUAAAACAUUUUUCGUUUGGAGAAAAUUAAUAGCAGAAUCUUCAUUAGAAACUUCGGAAUACAAAUCUUUUAAAUUCAUUUUUCAACUACUGCAAUAAAUAUUUCGACACUGAUACGGGCAGAGCUUCAGACAUACUGGACAUACUGCUAAGUAAAAUUACCUGAACUAAUAAAAUAAAGCGAUGAAGCCUCAAUUGUCGUAAAUAUAAAUAAAAUAAUGUUUUGGUAAACACUAUAUGAUCUGUGUACUUCAUAGGAUUUUAAUACAUAAAAAUCAAUCAAAACAUAAUAGUGUGAUUACUACUCAUUAUAAAUAAUAUUAUUUUUCGUUAAUUGAACGUUUUAUUUGAUAUUUUAUAGUUAUUUUUUAAAAUUGAAUUUUAAGUUAUUAGAUAUUGAAAAGAAUUGAUCAAAAGUCGCUCAAUUCAUGAAAUAUUUAAAUAGUUUUUUUUUUUUUUUAUAGGUACAUACCAUCAGUAGCAUCAUGCCAAUUUAGCUCUCUAGUUAAAUAUCCAUCAGUGCAGUGUGAACAUUGUAUCAAAAACUCCUUUAUUGUAAUGACCCCAGUACUGAGUAAAGCUGUAGAAUUUUUUAUACGCAUAGAGUUCAAAAUGUACUUAGACUUAAUGCUUCUACUUGUCGUUAGUCCUGCUGCUAAUUGGGAGACAACAAUAUGCUGUUUCACUGCAAUAUUUUUGAGAUUUUAUAAGAAUGAAAUGACAACUCACCAAGCAUUCUCCAUAAAUUUGGGUGAGCAACUUGAAAAGUUUGCUUCAGAGUGGAGUGAAAACUCUCGACAUUGUUGUUAGUGCGGCGAGGUUGGCCAUACACUGAAAAACAAUCUGGGCCUUUUCUAUUUCUAUACAGGUACAAUAUAAUUUACCUAGACAUAUAAGUGAAGAAUCUGGGUAAUAGCACUCCAUUAUUUUGAGCAUGGUCUUUGAUUUCUUGAAACCCUAUUUCUAUUUGAUGUGCAGGUUAUAAAGCCAAAACUGCACACAUCUUCAAGCACAUCUUUGCCUCUCUAUUCUGUUGUAUGUAACGUGAGUAGCCCAUUUUCUUUAUGUUUUUUUGUAAACU